AGAUUCAUCCUGGUUUGAUUGGAACGACGAAGAAACUGUGCUAUUCCCAAACUGGGAAACUGGAAUCACCUGCUUUGAAAGUGGGAUAACUUCUUCAUCCCAACUCCUAUGAGAUUUAUUCAACUUCCUGGUGAUUCUACACCACCUUAUGUAUCCAAAUCAAGCUUCUCACAAAGUGAUUCAUCCUGGUUUGAUUGGAACGACGAAGAAGCUGUGCUAUUCCCAAACUAGGAACCUGGAAUCACCUGAUUUGAAAGUGGGAUAACUUCUUCUUGCCAACUCCUAUGAGAUUUAUUCAACUUCCUGGUGAUUCUCCACCACUUUAUGUAUCCAAAUAAAGCUUCUCACAAAGUGAGUCAUCCUGGUUUGAUUGGAACGACGAAGAAGCUGUCCAAUUCCCAAACUGGGAAACUGGAAUCACGUGAUUUGAAAGUGCGAUAACUUCUUCAUCUCAACUCCUAUGAGAUUUAUUCAACUUCCUGGUCAUUCUCCACCACUUUAUGUAUCCAAACCAAGCUUCUCACAAAGUGAUUCAUCCUGGUUUGAUUGGAACGACGAAGAAGCUGUGCAAUUCCCAAACUGGGAAACUGGAAUCACCUGAUUUGAAAGUGGGAUAACUUCUUCAUCCCAACUCCUAUGAGAUUUAUUCAACUUCCUGGUCAUUCUCCACCACUUUAUGUAUCCAAAUCAAGCUUCUCACAAAGAGAUUCAUCCUGGUUUGAUUGGAACGACGAUGAAGCUAUCCUAUUCCCAAACUGGGAAACUGGAAUCACCUGAUUUGAAAGUGGGAUAACUUCUUCUUGCCAACUCCUAUGAGAUUUAUUCAACUUCCUGGUGAUUUUCCACCACUUUAUGUAUCCAUAUCAAGCUUCUCACAAAGUGAUUCAUCCUGGUUUUAUUGGAACGACGAUGAAGCUGUGCUAUUCCCAAACUUGGAAACUGGAAUCACCUGAUUUGUAUUAGAUUUGGUGAUUUAAAGAGUGAUUAAGUCUAAUCUGAGAAUUAAAGAGAUUGGAGAUUAAGAACAAGAGAGAGACUUAAGAGAGAGAGACUCAAAACUCCAUUAAUUAAUACUGAUGAGGGUUUACAAGUAUAUAAAGAGAGAGCAACAAGGAAUUUCGAAAUGUAUAAGCAUGUGUAGUCAAAGGACAGGCUGGAACUCCUUUUGAAUCACUUGGCUGUGCUUUCUCACAUGCUUGCACUAGUAGAAAAGCAUCCUAUCCUUUCCAGCAUCAUACAGGCUGUCAAAGUGCUCCCUUAUCCUUCCUUAUCCUCUUUGGUCGAGUUUACUCUCUUCCCUUCACUAAGUUAC
rnacentral:lncRNA from 1 species